AUGCUCGAAGCACUUGGUUGUGUCUUCCCGGAGUUGCUGGCCCGCAAUGGUGUGAAGUUCGUUGAGGCCAUUUGGUUUAAGGCCGGCUCCCAGAUCUUUAGGGAGGGUGGUCUUGACUAUCUUGGUAACCCCAGCCUCGUCCACGCGCAAAGCAUCCUAGCUAUUUGGGCAUGCCAGGUUGUGCUCAUGGGUGCCGUUGAGGGGUACCGCAUGGCCGGCGGCCCGCUUGGCGAGAUCGUCGAUCCACUAUACCCGGGCGGCAGCUUCGACCCUCUUGGCCUAGCUGACGACCCUGAGGCAUUUUCCGAGCUCAAGGUGAAGGAGAUCAAGAAUGGUCGUCUUGCCAUGUUCUCAAUGUUUGGCUUCUUUGUCCAAGCUAUAGUCACGGGCAAGGGCCCUCUUGAGAACCUUGCUGACCACAUCGCCGACCCUGUCGACAACAAUGCAUGGGCAGUCGCCACCAACUUUGUCCCCGGCAAGUAA
rnacentral:rRNA from 1 species